rnacentral:rRNA from 1 species
GUGUGGGGGGACAUUCCACGUUUUCCGCGCCGUAGCUAACGCAUUAAGUGCCCCGCCUGGGGAGUACGGCCGCAAGGCUAAAACUCAAAGGAAUUGACGGGGGCCCGCACAAGCGGCGGAGCAUGCGGAUUAAUUCGAUGCAACGCGAAGAACCUUACCAAGGCUUGACAUGAACCGGUAACGCCUGGAAACAGGUGCCCCGCUUGCGGUCGGUUUACAGGUGGUGCAUGGUUGUCGUCAGCUCGUGUCGUGAGAUGUUGGGUUAAGUCCCGCAACGAGCGCAACCCUCGUUCUAUGUUGCCAGCACGUGAUGGUGGGGACUCAUAGGAGACUGCCGGGGUCAACUCGGA